rnacentral:rRNA from 1 species
GUGUCAGCAGCCGCGGUAACACGUAGGAUCCGAGCGUUAUCCGAAUUUACUGGGCGUAAAGCGCGUGUAGGCGGCUGGGUAAGUUGGACGUGAAAUCUCCCGGCUCAACUGGGAGGGGUCGUUCAAGACUGCCUGGCUAGAGGGCGGUAGAGGGAGGUGGAAUUCCCGGUGUAGUGGUGAAAUGCGUAGAUAUCGGGAGGAACACCAGUGGCGAAAGCGGCCUCCUGGACCGCCCCUGACGCUCAGACGCGAAAGCUAGGGGAGCGAACGGGAUUAGAAACCCGCGUAGUCC